rnacentral:rRNA from 1 species
CGGACGGGUGAGUAACGCGUGGGUAACCUGCCUCAUACAGGGGGAUAACAGUUAGAAAUGACUGCUAAUACCGCAUAAGCGCACAGUACCGCAUGGUACGGUGUGAAAAACUCCGGUGGUAUGAGAUGGACCCGCGUCUGAUUAGCUGGUUGGUGAGGUAACGGCCCACCAAGGCGACGAUCAGUAGCCGACCUGAGAGGGUGACCGGCCACAUUGGGACUGAGACACGGCCCAG